rnacentral:rRNA from 1 species
CCUUGCCAGCCCGCUCAGAACUCAAAGGAAUUGACGGGGCCGCACAAGCGAGGAGCAUGUGGUUAAUUCGAUGAUACGCGAGGAACCUUACCUGGGCUCGAACGUAAGAUGACUGUAGGUGAAAGCUUACAUCUCUUCGGAGCAUUUUACGAGGUGCUGCAUGGUUGUCGUCAGCUCGUGCCGUGAGGUGUCGGGUUAAGUCCCAUAACGAGCGCAACCCCUACCUUUAGUUGCCAUCAGGUUAAGCUGGGGACUCUAAAGGAACUGCCUACGCAAGUAGUGAGGAAGGCGGGGAUGACGUCAAAUCAGCACGGCCCUUACGUCCAGGGCUACACACGUGCUACAAUGGCCGAUACAGAGGGCAGCUACCUGGUGACAGGAUGCAAAUCUCCAAAGUCGGUCUCAGUUCGGAUCGGAGUCUGCAACCCGACUCCGUGAAGUUGGAUUCGCUAGUAAUCGCGCAUCAGCCAUGGCGCGGUGAAUACGUUCCCGGGCCUU